CCCGCGUUGAGGCCCAUGACCAUGAUGGCAGGAACGGGGGAACCAGUUCUGGUCUCGGUGACGAGGCCUUGGGGUGAAGUCCGCGCAGCGGACCGGGCGUCUCCAGCUCGAACCCGACAGCUCACCUCGUCGGCACACAGGAGAAUCAAC
rnacentral:sRNA from 2 species